UGGGGAAUAUUGCGCAAUGGACGAAAGUCUGACGCAGCGACGCCGCGUGUGGGAUGACGGUCUUCGGAUUGUAAACCACUGUCGGGAGGGACGAAUACGCCGCAAGGCGGGUGACGGUACCUCCAAAGGAAGCACCGGCUAACUCCGUGCCAGCAGCCGCGGUAAUACGGAGGGUGCGAGCGUUGUCCGGAAUCACUGGGCGUAAAGGGCGCGUAGGCGGCCUGAUAAGUAGGGGGUGAAAUCUUGCGGCUUAACCGCAAGGCUGCCUUCUAAACUGUCAGGCUCGAGCACAGUAGAGGCAGGUGGAAUUCCCGGUGUAGCGGUGGAAUGCGUAGAGAUCGGGAAGAACAUCAGUGGCGAAGGCGGCCUGCUGGGCUGUUGCUGACGCUGAGGCGCGACAGCGUGGGGAGCAAACA
rnacentral:rRNA from 1 species